CACAGCACCCCUGUAAGGAAGAGAGCACUAUAGAAAAAUUGGACUUGAUGUCAAGUGAUUUUCACAGAGUUCACACGUCGGUGGUGUGCAGACCUGAAAUUUUUCAAGCUCUAUGGUGCUCCUUGAUGAUGAUGCUUCAGGAAAUGGAGAAAGUUUGAAUCUCCUGCAGCUUCAGUUCCAUCAUCCAUGCUUUGAUACCAGAAAUCCAAAGGACGUUGGGGAACAGAACUCCAUUUUCUGGGGAAUUCAAUUUAUGGACAUAUAGUAUGUGGAAUUUUUCUCAUGAAAACUAGAAUGUCCCCUAAGAUACCUAUUGUAUCCUGGGUAAGGCAGAAAAGAGAGUGGAAAAUAAUUCUGUGCUGUAAUAGAUACUAUGAAAAGAACUCAGAGAACAAUGUGUGGAAAACCCUUUGCUUCAAAUGUACAGCAAGGUGGCUGAAGUUAGCUAAGCUGGGUUUAGAGCUGAGAAAUUUGACUGGGUUUUAUCACCCAAAAGCAGUCUAUGUUCAAAGAGUUUAGUAAGAUCGUGUGUUAAACUGAAGUUUCUGAAAAUUGGAGUCAUUUUUGGAAAACAUCCCAGAGGUAGAAUAGGUCUUAAAGACACCUGGGCAAAUCCAAGUAGAUUUCAAAGUUGCUAAGGAGACUUGUGGGGAUAUAUCUGUAUCUUAUAUUUCUGGGGUUGUCUCCCAAUUAUUUGUGUGAGGGAGAUGCUGAGUUUUUGUGGGAUCUUCCAUUCUCCCUUGGGACUGUACUACAUCAUUAACUACCUCCUCACUGACACCUUCAAUUUUAUUCCCACUGAGUCAAUCCCCUCAGCCUGUAAACAUGCUUAGAUCUUUCCUAUAAUUAAACAAUUUCUAACUGU